rnacentral:rRNA from 1 species
GAUGAACGCUGGCGGCGUGCCUAAUACAUGCAAGUCGAGCGAACAGACGAGGAGCUUGCUCCUCUGACGUUAGCGGCGGACGGGUGAGUAACACGUGGAUAACCUACCUAUAAGACUUGGAUAACUUCGGGAAACCGGAGCUAAUACCGGAUAAUAUAUUGAACCGCAUGGUUCAAUAGUGAAAGUCGGUUUUGCUGUCACUUAUAGAUGGAUCCGCGCCGCAUUAGCUAGUUGGUAAGGUAACGGCUUACCAAGGCAACGAGGCGUAGCCGACCUGAGAGGUGGAUCGGCCACUGUGGAACUGAGACACGGUCCAGACCCCUACGGGAGGCAGCAGUAGGAAAUCUGCCGCAAGGGGCGAAAGCCUGACGGAGCAACGCCGCGUGAGUGAUGAAGGGCUUCGGAUCGUAAAACUCUGUGAUUAGAGAAGAACAAAUGUGUAAGUAACUAUGCACGUCUUGACGGUACCUAAGCAGAAAGCCACGGCUAACUACGG